UUAGAUUUAAUUAAAAUAUAAUAUUAAUUUGUCAAAUUAAAAUUAUUUACAAAAUAAAUAUUCUAAA
rnacentral:tRNA from 1 species